CCUGCACAGCCCAAUCUGCUUUCCGUCGGGUGGCAUAGGAGGGUGUCGUUCCCCACACCCUCAGUACCCCUGCCCAGCAUCAACUUAAUCAUUUUGGCCAGUCUGCUGAGCGGACAGGGCCAUCUCGCUGUGCCAUCCUCUUUCUGUAACCUGAGUGAGCCCGAGCAUCAUUUUGCAGGACCGCUGGCUAUAUGCACUUCUUGGCUGUGACCUGGGCGCCCAAGGUGACUGGCUGGUAACCCUGCCCACAAGGUCAGGAGCCGACUGAGGGCCUGAGAGCCCUAACCCUAACCCACCCCCUGGGCCAGGAAGCAGGCGGAUGAGAAAGGAGGCAGCCCUCCUGAAAGGGGGCAGGAGGCUUGGGACGGAGGUGAACUGGACAUCGGACACAGGCGCUGGGGAGAAGAUGCAGAAUGCAGGCAGACGCAAAUCCAAACCACGAGGAGAUUGCACUUCACACCCACUGGGACGGCUAUAACCAAAGUCAGGUCGCAAGUGUUGAGGUGCUGCCAAAGCCAGGGGAAGUUCAUCAUCCCCCCGGACCCCCAGAAGACAGAGGCUGCAGGCUGCAGGCUGCAGCACACACACCAGGAAACUCGAGAAUAAAAUGACAACGGAUGCCUAGAUUUGGGCGCCGUCUGGUGCAAAGGCGUCCUUGAUGGAACGGCGUGCUACCGAAGGGCUACAGCGCGAUCUGGCUUUGAUGACAAGCCAAUAGUCCUAAGAACGCGCUAGAAAUUGGGGUCUUUCUUCUUUUCCUCCCGGCUGAUUAUAUUGUAAAUGAGCGGAUGUUACAGAAGCAGAAGAGAGCAAGAGCGAUGUCCUUUCUGAGAAGGGGAACCCGCGUGGGCACCAAAAGGGAGCUCCGCGGGC